CCGGUGUGAACGUUCACACACGUCCGGUGUGAACGUCCGGUGUGAACGGAGGACAGUCAACUCCGGCGGCUUGAAGAUGUCAAGUGUUAUUCUCCCUCUAGGUUUCUUGGUCAACACACAUAAGAUAUAUCUAGAAGAUAUAUUUACAACACUUCCCCUUGAUUGACCAAUCCCUAAAAAAUGUUGCCUCAUUAAAACCUUGCUAGGAAAACCC
rnacentral:lncRNA from 1 species